AUUGAACGCUGGCGGCAUGCCUUACACACGCAAGUCGAACGGCAGCACGGGGCAACCUGGUGGCGAGUGGCGAACGGGUGAGUAAUGCAUCGGAACGUACCUUUCAGUGGGGGAUAACGUAGCGAAAGUUACGCUAAUACCGCAUAUUCUGUGAGCAGGAAAGCAGGGGAUCGCAAGACCUUGCGCUGAUUGAGCGGCCGAUGUCAGAUUAGCUAGUUGGUGAGGUAAAGGCUCACCAAGGCGACGAUCUGUAGCGGGUCUGAGAGGAUGAUCCGCAACACUGUAACUGAGACACGGUCCAGACUCCUACGGGAGGCAGCAGUGGGGAAUUUUGGACAAUGGGGGCAACCCUGAUCCAGCCAUGCCGCGUGAGUGAAGAAGGCCUUCGGGUUGUAAAGCUCUUUCGGCCGGGAAGAGAUCGCACGGGCUAAUACCCUGUGUGGAUGACGGUACCGGAAUAAGAAGCACCGGCUAACUACGUGCCAGCAGCCGCCGUAAUAC
rnacentral:rRNA from 1 species